rnacentral:tRNA from 13 species
UCCUCUUUAGUUCAGUUGGUAGAACGGCGGACUGUUAAUCCGUAUGUCGCUGGUUCAAGUCCAGCAAGAGGAGCCA